CCUACGGGAGGCAGCAGUAGGGAAUCUUUCACAAUGGGCGAAAGCCUGAUGGAGCAACGCCGCGUGCAGGAUGAAGGCCUUCGGGUUGUAAACUGCUUUUAUAAGCGAGAAAUAUGAUGGUAACUUAUGAAUAAGAAUCGGCUAACUACGUGCCAGCAGCCGCGGUCAUACGUAGGAUCCGAGCAUUAUCCGGAGUGACUGGGUGUAAAGAGUUGCGUAGGUGGCAUAAUAAGUAGCUAGUGAAAUCUGGUGGCUCAACCAUUCAGACUAUUAGCUAAACUGUUAAGCUCGAGAACGUUAGGGGUAACUGGAAUUGUUAGUGUAGGAGUGAAAUCCGUAGAUAUUAGAAGGAACACCAAUAGCGUAGGCAGGUUACUGGGACGGUUCUGACACUAAGGCACGAAAGCGUAGGGAGCAAACGGGAUUAGAUACCCCUGUAGUC
rnacentral:rRNA from 1 species